rnacentral:rRNA from 1 species
CAAAUUCUUCGGGGGGGCAGCAGUAGGGAAUUUUCCCCAAUGGGCGCAAGCCUGAUGGAGCAACACCGCUUGAAUGAAGAAGGGUUUCGGCUCGUAAAGCUCUGUUGUUAAAGAAGAACAUGUUUGAGAGUAACUGUUCAUACGUUGACGGUAUUUAACCAGAAAGUCACGGCUAACUACGUGCCAGCAGCCGCGGUAAUACGUAGGUGGCAAGCGUUAUCCGGAUUUAUUGGGCGUAAAGAGAGUGCAGGCGGUUUUCUAAGUCUGAUGUGAAAGCCUUCGGCUUAACCGGAGAAGUGCAUCGGAAACUGGAUAACUUGAGUGCAGAAGAGGGUAGUGGAACUCCAUGUGUAGCGGUGGAAUGCGUAGAUAUAUGGAAGAACACCAGUGGCGAAGGCGGCUACCUGGUCUGCAACUGACGCUGAGACUCGAAAGCAUGGGUAGCGAACAGGAUUAGAUACCCUGGUAGUCCAUGCCGUAAACGAUGAGUGCUAGGUGUUGGAGGGUUUCCGCCCUUCAGUGCCGGAGCUAACGCAUUAAGCACUCCGCCUGGGGAGUACGACCGCAAGGUUGAAACUCAAAGGAAUUGACGGGGGCCCGCACAAGCGGUGGAGCAUGUGGUUUAAUUCGAAGCUACGCGAAGAACCUUACCAGGUCUUGACAUCUUGCGCCAACCCUAGAGAUAGGGCGUUUCCUUCGGGAACGCAAUGACAGGUGGUGCAUGGUCGUCGUCAGCUCGUGUCGUGAGAUGUUGGGUUAAGUCCCGCAACGAGCGCAACCCUUGUUAUUAGUUGCCAGCAUUAAGUUGGGCACUCUAGUGAGACUGCCGGUGACAAACCGGAGGAAGGUGGGGACGACGUCAGAUCAUCAUGCCCCUUAUGACCUGGGCUACACACGUGCUACAAUGGACGGUACAACGAGUCGCGAACUCGCGAGGGCAAGCAAAUCUCUUAAAACCGUUCUCAGUUCGGACUGCAGGCUGCAACUCGCCUGCACGAAGUCGGAAUCGCUAGUAAUCGCGGAUCAGCAUGCCGCGGUGAAUACGUUCCCGGGCCUUGUACACACCGCCCGUCACACCA